AUUCAAACUAAAUAAUAUAUAUAUAUAUAUAUAUAUAUAUAUAUAUAUAUAUAUAUAUAUAUAUAUAUAUAUAUAUAUAAAUACUAAUGAUUUAAAGCAACAAGAUUGGCUGAUCAAUUUAGUCGUCGAGUUGAAAUCUUUCAAAAGUAUGUGAAAGACUAAAGUCAAAGUAAAUAUGGAUUUAGAAUAGUAGUUAUAUUUUACUAACCGAAAUACCGAAAAAAACCGAAUCGAACCGAAACUAACCCGAUAUCCGAAUUGAACACCCAUAAUCCAAAUGAAGCCAAACUAUUGUUUUAUUCUCCAAAAUAUAAUAAAAAUAAUAACUUAAUUUCGCGCAAGGCGCGGGUCUUAUCCUAGUACCUCUUUAAUUUAUGAACAACAAAAUAUUUUCUACUUCUUUAAAAAAUUUCAACGACGCAUCAUUUCAUACAUCUCUUUUGAUUUCUGAAUAAUGCACCAAUAAAUCAAUCGACACGUUCAAGUGUUUAGUUAUCUUAAUUCCUCAUACACCACCAUCAUAGAAAGAUUAUGAGAUCUUUGGAUAUGACCUUCAUAUGUAUUUCUCUUAACAUCUUCAUGAUAUUUUUAUAGGUUUCUCUAUAUAUAAUAGCAAAUAUGUUUUGUUUUAUACUUGCGUCAUUAUUUUUUAUAAAAAAUAGUCUAAUGCAACCAUUGAACUUAUCAUAGUUUUAUAAUCUAACAAAAAGAAUAUAUUAUUUAUAAGAUUGGAAAUUAUCAAACUGUUGUAGUAAAAGACAUGUUCUUCUAUACAAAUAUUUUGUUAUUUCAAAAUACACAAAUAAAAGCUAAAAGUUAAAAAAAAUAUAUGAAUGUGAUAGAUAUAAAAUCAUCUUCGACUGUAUAUUAUAGAGUAUAAAAAAAAUUGAUAAUAUCUAAUAAUUUUUUGGGUUUUACCAUAAAUAUAAUGUGAGUGUGCCAUAUAAAUAAAUUUUAAAAUAUUGUUGUAAUUUUAAAAUAGUUUUUCGUAUUUAAUCUAUUCCACUUCUGUUUGAAUUUCUAUGAUAGUUUAUCUAACAGUUGUAAAUUUUGAAACUUAAUAAGGUAAAAAUUUAUAAAAUUUUAUAUUACAAAAAUUUAAUAUCUAAAUGAAUGUGGUGAUGUUAGUGAUAAAUAACUACUAAAUACAAAAAAAACUAAGCAUAAAACUGAAAAUAAUACAUUUAGAAUUGCGGUUGUAAGUUAUACUUCCAUGAGUGCCAAUACAUGAAAUUGGUUCUUAAGAAAGUCUAAUUUAAUGGUUUAAAUUAAUAUUAUAAAUGAGAAUUAUUUAUGUAGGAAUCAUAUUGGAAAUAAAAGGCAUUCAUUCAUUGAAAUAAUUUUAUAUCUUCCAAUUAUUACUUUUUUUUUUGUUAUUCUAUAAUAUAGUGUUCUUAAUAACAUAUUUUAUCUUGAAGAACUCUAUGAAACACAUAUUUGGCACUCUAUUUCCAUUACAUAAUAUUUCACGCAACCAUCGUUUCAUGUCUGAUCUUAAUUUAAUUUUCUUUCGAUUUUAGGUUACAAUAUGGAGGAAACUCACUUUUCAAUUUUAUUAGAUCAAUAUUCUCUAUAAUAAUUUUUAAGCUAAAUGUUUUAGAUUUAUUUUAAAUAUGAAUUGCUUACAUAGAGUUGAGAUUAGAAGGCAUCCAUUCAUUUAAGUAGUUAUAUCUCUUAAAACAACCAUUUCAUUUAGUUAAAGUUUUUCAACAGUUACGUCUUCGAAAAUUGUUACUACAAAUUGUAUAAAAACUCUAUUAAAUUCGAAUGCCACUCAAUUUUUUAACAUUAUAUAUUUGCAUCAAUCAUUUGCUAUUUACUAAAAUUAUAUAUAUAAUUUGACCCAUAAAUGGGCAAUAGGAACAAUGCUUAUUGGUUACACAGAAAAAACAUUAUUAGCUAAGUUACAACGAUUUAGACAGUACUCAUCUGCUAUUUAAUAUUCGAUCAGUCUUAUAUUAUAGAGAUAAAAUGUUGCAGUAAAAAACUUCAUAUCUAAGAAGAUUUUUUCCAGUAAUAAUAAGGUCAAGAUUAAUUUUUAUUUAUAAUUGUAAAUGGAUACUUUUGCAAAUUGCUAUUUUCUAUUAUGUUUUUUUGGGAGAUUAUUAAAAGACAACUACAAUUUUUUUUUUGUUAUUCUUUUGAGUAGCUAACAUUGUCAAUAUUUGAUCUUUUCCCAUAAAUUCCUUAAUUGAUCAGUAUUUAAAAAAAAAACUUAAAAUUUUAAAAUAACUCAAACUAAUAUUUCAUAUGUGUAUAUUAUAUUUUGAAACUUGUGUAUAGUAAAAAUAUAUAAUAAAUAAAUGUGGGAGUAAAAUGGAACACAAAUAAUAAAUUAAUAAAAAACAGAUACAAAUUUUAGUAAAUAAUGGAUUAAAUAGUACUAUUACUAUUUUGAUGGCAUAAGAUCAUCUCCAAUGGAUUAUUCUAUUUUUUCUUCAAAAUAUAAUAACUCUAUAAUGGAGUUAGGUUCUUCUCCUAUAGUAUUCUAUUUUAAAAUGCAAUAGUUAUAACCAAAAACUAAAUAAAUUAUUCUAUUUAUGGAACAUAUCUAUUUUUACUCUAUUAUAAAGUGAAAAAUAGAGUAGGAUUAUUUCAAAAUCUAUUUUAGAGUAAAUAUAAAAUGAAGUUAAAUAUAUUCUAAAAUAAAGGAUAUGAGGAGUAUUUAUUAUAAAAAAUAACUAUAUAAAAGAGCGUCUUGUGUCUCAUUCAGGCAGAUGCCUAAAAAGUGGAGAUCGAAGCCUAAAUCAAGAAUCUAUAUUUAUCUGUGGAUGAAAGGAUACUCUGAAUUAAAAACAUUUGGCGAGAAACAUUUUGAAACAGUGUCGUAAGUCAAUGAUAGGUUCCUGAGUACCAUCUAUUGGUUAAUGGAAUUAUGUUUUGUCAAUUUGCUUUAGUCUCUGGUUUGAUGGUUGCACAUGCUGAAAUACCAAUUAUGGGUUAAAAAAAAUGCCCAAUGCCAAAAUAGUUGUCAUGCAGACUUCGGAUUAAGAAAUCCGCAAAGGCUAAUCAAAGAGGUUGACAUCCCUAAUACUGAACACGAGAGAAGGUUGACCAAUCUUUGCCAUCGUCUCAACUCGGUAUUCCUGAUAAAAAUGUUAAUUUAUUUUUUUCUAAAUUCAACAGCCAAUUUGUAGUUAAUUUUGUUACGUACAUCUUACGUCUCAUUCUUAAGUUAUUAAAUUGUUUUAUUUUAAACUAAUAUAUUCAUGGGGAAUUGCCACUAAUACCACUUUGCUAAUACCACUUUUCAACUUUACACUUUUCAACUUUACCAUUAAAAUUUUAAUAGACAAAGUACAAUUAUACCCUUGAAUAAUUAAACCUAAAUUACUCUCUUUCUCCCCCAAUUCUAAAUUUGAGAGUUCCCAGAUUGAUUUCGAAUUCGACGGUGAUCAAAUCCGACGACACUGACGAGUUCUUCGGACGGCGCUGGCGAGGUCUCCGGCGGAUUUGACGGCGCUGACGAAUUCUCCGACGAAGCUGAAAAACUCUACAAGCUCAGGUGAACAAGACGAUCUGUCACUUUCUCCUCCAUUGAGAAAUAAUGACGAUGGCGACGAGCGUUGAUUCGCUUCUGGAGAAGCUCAAAUAGGAGGAGCUUUACCUUUCCACCAAGUAACUGGGAGUCCUUACAUUCUCAGAGCCGCCAAUUUCCUCCUCCAACUCGUGCUUCUCCUCUAUCUUCUUCCUUUGUCUCUGAAUUAAGCUUGGUUAGGUUGGUGUUGAAUGCCCUGCAAGGUGUUGAGUCUUCUCUUAUUAGCAUACAUAAGCUCUCUUAUGUAUUAUUCUGAGCCAGCUGAUAGGACAACCCACCAAAGUCUGAGCUUGUGGCAUCGGUUAUCAAGCACUGACGCCUUGGGACAGAUUCUUUGAAACAUAUGAUGCUUUGGUUCUUUGGUCUUUCUUCUCUUGUUAAGUAGGUGAAAAUGAAGAAGCCAAUAACAAGAGCUGCUAUACUCUUGUUAAUCAGACUUUUGCUAUUGCUGUGAGAAAGGUCCUAGAAGGCUAUAUAUCUGGUCUGGAUACAUUAUGUGCAUCUGCAGAACUGAGGCGUUCAUCUAACAUUGUGGUUUUGUAAACCCAUUAUAAAUUUUUAUAAACCAUUAUAAAUUCAGAAACCCCAAGUAUCUCUCAAUGAAUCAUCUCAAUACUCAAUUAUACCUUUUUAUAAGGCCUUAUAAAAGAAACUGUAAAAGAAUGAUGUUCUUUAAUAAGCAAAGAAAUGGUGGAAAGUUGGUUAAUUUGGUGAUUUAUAAACUCUUAAAAAUAGAUUUAUAAACCUUGUAAAUUAAUUUAUGAACACUUAUAAAUAAAUGUAAAAACUCUUAUAAAUAGCUUAUAAGUUCUUGUAAAUAGUUUUAUAAACUCUUUUAAAUAGCUUUAUAAAUAUUUAUAUAUGUUUUAAAAACUUUAUAGAUGGUUGACACAUGUCUUUCUGUAAUAUAUAUGUAUAACACGUGUUCUUAUAAGUGAUUGUAAGCUGUAAAUCAUUUGUACUUUACAUUUACUCUAGUUUCUUUUUUAAGAAAAUUAGUAACAAGCAUCUUCAUGUAUUUAUAUCUCCGACUUUAAUUUUUAAACUUUUUAAACUUAUAAUAGCUUUAUGAAUAUUUUACUUCUAAAUGUAAAGAUUUAUAAAAUCUUAUAAGAGAUUUAUAAACUCUUGAAAAAGAUUUAUUUUCUCUUACAAAUUGUGCGAUGAAGAUUAUUAAACUCUUAUAAUAUUUUUAUAAACCCUUAUAUACAGAUUUAUAAGCCUCUAUAAAAUGUUAUAAGACUUCAUAAAAUAAUUACCUUCAUAAACUCUUAUAGACUGCAGUAGAUAUUUUAUAAAGUAUUACAAAUCUAUUUAUAAACCUAUAUGAAUCAAUUUAUACAUUCUUGUAAAUCAAAAUAAAAUAUCCCAAGUCUACUGAUUGUUUGAAGAGCUCAUCAACUUGGUGCUCCCCAAUCUGCCAUGGCUCUAUGAUGAUGAUGCCUUCUACUCCUCUUGCUUGGCGGUUUGAUUCAGCUGAAUUCACACUCAAAGAAGACUAUAACGACUUCUUUCUGAAUGUAUGUUUCUUAAUGUCUCAAGAAGCAUUCAUCCUUCAGAUUAAGUACUAGUAACAAGCAACUAUCGUUUAACAAUGCUUCAUUUCUUAAUAUACUUACAACGCUUUGUCAUACACUCUACACCUGAUUUCAUGAAAUAAAAAGUUGUAACACUUCAAAAUACCACUAACCUGAUUCUUCUGAUAUGUUUUUUGGCUGAAUAGAUAUUUCUCAAACAGCUUAAAAAGACUCUCUAAACUAUUUAUAAAUCUUUUGAUAAAGUCUUAUAAAACCUUUAUAUUUUUUUGUAAACCCUAUACAAACUCAUCAAAACCCAUUAAAAUCUUUUAUAAACCCUUAUAAAUCUUUUUUUUUUGUCAACAUUCUUUUCAUUUAAGCCUCAUGGGCUGAAAUUAUGGGCACAAGUCUUUCGGCUUAAAGCCCAACACUUUGAUACACAAGAUUAAAUUCAUAAAAAUAAAGAACACGUGCAUGUUUUAUAAAGAGAUGAUGAUACGUGGCAGAUUCUGAGGCACAUGCGGACAGCGAACAAUGCUCCACCGCUUCAGACCCCACCGCUUCAGCUCCACGAACGAAGAAACCUCUUUUGUCGGACUUACAAAUCUUAUAUGUCUUUAUAAAUGGUUUAUAGACUCCUACAAAUAAUUUUACAUACCCUUAUAAAUUAUUUUAUAAUGGUGUAUCAAUUUUAUAAAUUAUUUUUAUAAACCCUUAUAAACUAUUAUACAAACCAUUAUAAGUUGUUUUAUAAAGCUUUCUAAAUGGUUAUAGACUCUUUUAGUUGAUUUAUAAACCUAUACAACUCUUAUAAUACCCCUUAUAAAUUGAAUAUAUGCUUUCAUAACAUUUUUAUAAACUUUUAUAAAUAGUUUAUAAAUUGCUUUUAUAAACCCUUAUAAAUUAUUUACAUUCAUCAAUAAUCAUAGAUCCACCCCCAUUGGUUGAUCUGAGAAAGUGAACCAUAGAUCUUAGAGACUCUUAAAAAUAAUUUAUAAACAUUUAUAAAUCGCUUAUAAACUUACAAAAAUGUUUUAUAAACUUUUGUAAAUGAUUUAUAAACUCUUAUUUGCCCUUUAAAUUUCUUUUCUCUUCACUUUUAUCUUCUUUCAUGUGUUAUUGCUUUAUAUCAUAUACUGCAAAAAAGUAAAUCCACAAAAUUUUGUUCCCAUUAACUUUUCUUCUUUUUAUAUCCUUGUUGAACUAAUUGUACAACACUGUCAAAAUCUAUGUCAUUAAGAUCUGGAUGCGUUGGGGUCACCAAAUGUUUGUAUUCCUUAGAGAAUCCAAACAUUUUAAACCAAAAGAUGUAACAAAUAAUAAACAAGUUUUAUAAGUCUCCCAAAUCUCUAAUUUACAAAUUUAUAAACCCAUAUAAAACUAUAUUUAUAAUCUUUUAUAAAAUGCUUCACAUUAUUGACCAAAACAACGAUUGGAUAAUCACUUUUAGAUUGUCUAGUGGAUCUGUUCCAGCUUCAUAAAUCCUCAGAGGAAUCACGAAGAUGUGCAAAAUUCAUUGUUAUCUAACUGCCUGACGAAAUAAAAAGAUAAUGUUAACUUUUAAUCGUGUAAAGAUACCUUAUCCAAGCAUAAUGUUCAUGUAUUUUGGUAACAGUCUUACAAAGAAUAUAGGAUAACACAACACAAGACUUCUCAUGUUCACAUGUUUAUAUGUUGUUCUAUAGAUAUAUACGAUGAACUCUUGUUUAAGAACUUCUUUUAUAACACCUUGUAAAUCGUUGAGAUGUAUUAUCAGCAAUAUCCUAAAACCCAGAUUUAUAAGGGAUUAUAAUUCCUUAAUAUGCAGUGUACUAUUGGAAAAUACCUCUCUUAAAUCGACAUAUUCAAAAUGAGAAGUCUGAAGCAUCAAUGAUAUGAACUUAAUAAAACGAUGAUAUGAACUUCUAAUCAUGGUCUAAGAUGGAUAAGCAUAGUGUUCAUGUAUUUCGACAAAAGUCUUACAAAUAAUAUAGGAUAACACAACAAAAGACUUCUUGAGUUCACACAUUUAUAUGUAUAGACAUAUACAACUCUUGUUAAAAAUACUUCUUUUAUAGAUCAACAUGUUCAAAUGAGAAGUCUAAAGCAAUCUUGUUUGAUUGUUUCAUUGGAAACUUUUCUAGAAAUUAUAAGGAACCAAGAUAGACACAACUGUCACUAAUCAGUCAAAAAAAAAACUAAAUUAAUAUAUUUGGAAGAAAGAGAGAAGCUAAUUUAAAAAGUCUUACUUUCAUAAUUCAUCGUAGAAAGAGCAAUUGAUACUAAAACACAAACUCGUUAAAGACAUACACACUGAAUUUCAUGAAUACGACGACGGCGGGGCUCGAUGAAGAAGACGACAAACUCGUUAAAGACAGACACGGUGAAGCUCAUAAAUACAGCAACGACAUGUUUGAGGAAGACGAAAGAGAAGCUUGACGAAGAAGACGACGAACUCGUUAAAGACGGACACCGUGAAACUCAUGAAUACGGCGACGGUGGAUCUCCACGAGAGAGAAGAUAGAUCUGAAAAGAGGCGUUUAUGGUUGAAGAUAAGGAAAGGUUAAUUUAGUCUUUUGCCAUUUAAUGAAGAAUGUAUUUUUGAAAAUGUCCAUUUAGUGGUGGUAAAAGUGAAAAGUGGUACACUACAAAGUGUAUAAUUGAAAUUUCCCC